AAACAGGGCUCAGGACAGAGUUAUCAGGGACACCAACUGGAGGCUGUUCCCUGUUGGACUGGCACUGGAAGCUACUGGUGAGGCUCGAAACAAAACACUGGAUGGAGAGGAGCUUUCUCUAUGGAAUGUGGAUACUAUACAGUAGUCCAUGUAGCUGAGCUGUGUGGCUAAUUAUCCAUUUUCUUCAUCAGCAUGGUUCACAGUCACACUAUGAUUGGCCACACUUGUAAUCAGGCUGUUCUUGCAAAUAACAUUGCCUUAGGUAAAGUGGUGAAAAUGUUGAAGCAAGCCAUGAUGAUCGCCCACCCAUUUCAUUUGUUUCCCAGAUUAUGAGAAACAAAGCAGGAAUACGGAGAAGUCCCCCAAAAGAAAGAAGCAAACUUUCAUGGGAUAGAAGAACGAUGAAAUACUACAGUUGCGGCUUUCUGGGAUUGAUCAAGUUAAUGUGUGAAAGAGGGGUCAUUCCUAGCAAAGAGAUGCUUGAGCUGAAGGAUUAUGUCUUAAACCGUGGCUACUUUGACAUUCAAUCCAUUGAAUACUUAGAGAUCCUUGAUGCCGUGAAAAUGAACCCCCCUGUUGUUGGCUAGAAUAGAUUGUUAGGUGGUGCCAUGAAAGUAUAAUGAUACUUGAUUAGUUUCUUAACAAACUGAAGAUUUGUGUGUGUCAAAGGUAGCCUUCUUUAAUCUAAAAAUAAAAAUAUUUUAAGCAUAAAGUCUAAAAGGGAGCUUGCAUGGCCUUUUCCUGUAUUGUUUCGUUGGGAAAUCUUUCAAGUUACAUUAUGUAUUCAAUCUGCG
ensembl:lncRNA